AUGUAUACGAUCUAUAUCGAAAUCUUUAUAAUCAGUCCAUGGAAGCGGGCGGAAGUAGUUUGUAACUAAUAAAGACCGGAAUAGAAGUUUGAAUUUAAAAUGUAUGCUGUGUCAAUAUAAUACGGAUGAAAUGAAUUGUUGAGCAUGGAGCUCGUUUUGAAGAUUUUAAUAAUCGUGAUUUUAUUGAUGGUUGUUGUUGGUUUAGGAACUCUGUUGGCUUUAGUUCGUUCUAUGCUGGAUCUUUCAACUACAGUAAGUAAUGAUGAAAUAUGCUUACCAACAGAUUAUGGUUCACUUUCUUGUGGGAAGACAACGGAAAUGCUGCAUAAUUACCUGGAUAAGACAAUAGCCAAAGAAUAUGCCAAAGUUAAGCAGGAAGGCACUGAGCGGCAGCAAAAGUAUAUAGAUGAAAACAGGGCCCGCUUAAUGGCUAUUUAUGACAAGAACUUCUGGUAAAUGAAGCCUGCUGCCAAGUUAACUGGAAUGAAACUACCAAAACCAAGACUAAGUGAUAACAAUGCUGAAAUGACACCCGUACGAGUUUGGCAACAUAGAAGAGAUACAUUUGGUUUCGUACAGUAUGGAGUUAGAUACAGAAAUGGGCGUCUCGUCAUUCCAGUUUCUGGCACAUAUUUUUUAUAUUCUUAUGUAGACCUUUUUGAACUGUGUGAUCCAUCAACCGGUAAUUAAAUAAAACCAGUUGUUAAGAAUGCAAGCAUACCUAUUAAACACGGUAUAUUUAAAUUUAAUAUCCUCGACGCGGAGGAGUCUGAAUUACUUUCAAGUGUUCAACCCCACAUUAUUUCGAGCAGUCGAUACUAUAACACUUACAGUAGUUAUAUAUCGAUACAUGCUGAUCUAAAAGCAGGAGACGAACUAUCCGUAAAAGUAUCCGAUAUUACUUAAGUAUACAAAAUAUAACUAUUUCGGCUUGAAUCUGGUUUAGAUCUCUUCCCAUAAAGCACUCUAUCAUUUCAAAACUUAAUACAGUAAAGUUCCGCUAACAAGACCAGGCAAAAUGGUGGUCUCAAUAGUGAAUUAGUCUUAUUAGCGGACCGUUUUUGCUCUAUAUUUUACACUUUGGUUCUUUAAAAUUUCCAAUUUGUGCAUGGUUUUGAAAUUUUAGAAGCGGUCUUAUUAUCUUAACAAAAUGUAUCAUGGUAUGUAAAAUAAUGUUCUUUCUUUUCAAAGAAUAUUUAUAAAUGUUUAAGAACCGAACCUGAUACAUGAUAAACCUUGUUUCGUAGAGCAAACUAGUUGGUACUUCAAGCAAUUUUAUGAGCUUUAAGAAAGUGAUGAAGUUUGUUCAGUAUUAUAAUGAUAAGAUUUAUUUAAGAAUGAACUGACUACUCAGUGUUACAUGUAGUCCAAAAAUUAGUUCCAUGCUGUUGAUGAAAUCUGGAAUAAUGCGGCAUAUGCGGAUGUGACAUAUAUAUGUUUAGGUCAGUUCUAUUGCUUAUUGUAUUGAAAAAAAUAUCUAGACCAUUUUGAUUGUGAAUUUCUAGGAAUAGUUAAAUUCUUUGAGAAAAUGUCUACAUACGCGUAGUUACUAAAUGGCUAUUUUCAUGGGAGCAUUUUUAGAGGGUGAUAUUUCUCAAAACAGAUUAUUUUUCUAAUGUGUAACAUAAAAUGUCAAUAUUUUUUUCUAUUUUUGAUAAGAAGACAUGUCAUACUAAAUGGCCAUAUAUGGUUUUCAUAUCAUUUAAAUGCUCUAAAGUGCUGAAAAUGAGGUCUGAAUAUUUGAUUGUUUAUAUGAAAUAAAGAAGGAACUGCAUUGCUAGAAUGUUACCUUGAGAAUGUAAGUGAAGGUCGUUGUUUAUUGUUCAAAUAUAGUAAGAAUUUUAA